rnacentral:lncRNA from 1 species
UUAAUCCCAAGUCUGACCAUUGCGGGGUACACAAACGGGCUGGUACCCUACUCCCCUCUGGCCCUGAAUCUCACGUUCCAUAAAGUGGAGACCUUACCCGACCUCUUCCAACGAGCUCAGUCAUUCAUUGAGGUGGAAGAGCAGAAUGAAAACAAACUAGUGGAACUUGAGAGCACUAGCUUCAAAAAACAAAAGUUCGAGAGAAAGAGCUACAAUGACUCCUCGAACAGAUACACUAGCGAUGCGGCUGAUUCCUUCAGAAGGGAUUGGAAGCCUAAACACGAUAUUAAGGUGUAUCAAACAUCCAUCAAACAAUCGCCAAGGGGUCCACCUCAACCUUGGAGGAACCGGACCCCACUAACAAUCAGCAAAGGCGAGCUGUUUGAAAAACUGAGGAAGAGAGCGGAUCUGCUCGCUCCUCGCUCUAUGGACCCUGCAACCAAGGAUCGCCGUCAGAAAAGUGGAAUAUUCUGUAAAUUCCACAAGGACCACGGCCAUCUGACAGACUAUUGCAGGGAAUUCUCGCUCUAUGUCGAGCAAUUAAUUUCGAACGGCGAACUUGGCAACCUGGUCAAAGGAUCCCGAGAUCGAAACGAUUGCAAGUCUGACACGAAAGGGAAGCGUCCACGCUCUCCUUCACCAGACAGCGACAAUAGCGAGGACCACCCACGGAAAACCAUUCACAUGCUAUUUGGUGGUAGACCCGCAGGAAGGCUAGCAUAACUAAGAGGAGUAGGAAUAAGCUGUCACCCAAAAGUCCUUGCAUCUGGCACACGGACAAC